rnacentral:rRNA from 1 species
AUGAUACCAUGCCUUGGCCCAAGUAGUACUCCCUCACUCCCAGUCUCACUUGUAGAGAAAAAAACUUGUAGAGAAAUCCCCUUUCCUCUGACUCUGAGAAAUCCCCCAGAUCCAAAAAUCAUGGACGGCGACAGGCCGACUACGGCGGCCGCGGCCGCGUCGGUGAGGUCGGUGCUCGGCGACGACGACCUCUUCCGCGAGAUCCUCCUCCGCCUCGGCUUCCCCAACUCCCUCGUCCGCGCCGCCCUCGUCUCCAAGCGGUGGCUCUUCCACGCGUCCGAUCCGGCCUUCCUCCGCCUCUUCCGCGAGCGCCACCCACCCCGCCUCCUCGGCUUCUGCGUCAGCAACGACGCCCGGUAUCAGUUCGUGCAGCUCGAGCAGUCCCCGGAGCUCGCCGCUCUCUCACGCCGUGUGGCCUCCUCCUGCAACGACGCCUUCCGCUGCCGUGGGUCGGGUAUCUGA